rnacentral:rRNA from 1 species
CCCUAAAAGCUUUAUUUUUAAUAUAGGUUUGAGUUUAAAAUUAAAUAGAGAGUUUAACUGGGGUAGUUUUUUUGUAAAAUCUGAGGUUGUAAAAGGCACGUAAAGUGGGGUUUGGUCCUUUAGAUAAGGAUAAUUUGAGUGAGUUACUUUAGGGAUAACAGCGUAAUAGCCCUGGGGAGAUCGUAUCUAUGGGGUUGAUUGCGACCUCGAUGUUGAAUUAAAAGCUCAAUGUAGAGUAGA